rnacentral:pre_miRNA from 3 species
UCUCAUGGAUUAGCAAAGAAAGUGGCUUAUUGAGAAGGAAUCUACUUCUGGUGAAAUUGCUGUGAA